GACCAUCCAGCUCAGUUGGUAGAGUGCAAGGCUCUUAACUUUGGGGUCGUGGGUUCAAAUACCAUAGUGGGCG
rfam:Brassica rapa chromosome A3, whole genome shotgun sequence.